CUAGAAUCAAUGAUAGAUGAAGCUGUGUUUAUCUAACGACGAAUUUUUUGUUUGUAUUUUUUUAAAUUAUUGUUAGUUUUUUAAUUGUUUUGAGCUUAUUUUGGCAACUAAAGUAUCUUUGAAGUGACUCUUCGUAGCCUUUUAUUCAACUUCAGAUGCCUCCAAAGAAAGGUGCGGCUUCAUCCAGUAAAUCGGCUGGUAAAAGUGAUUCCAAAGAUUCUGGUAAAAAAGAGAGUAAAGAAAAGACCGGCUCAGGAAAUUCUGUGAAAGUUCGUCACAUACUUUGUGAAAAACAGUCAAAAGCUUUGGAAGCCAUUGAGAAAUUGAAAAGUGGCGUUAGUUUUUCUGAAGUUGCUAGGCUAUAUAGUGAAGAUAAAGCUCGUAAUGGUGGUGAUUUGGGAUGGAUGACCAGAGGAUCUAUGGUUGGACCUUUUCAAGAUGCUGCAUUUGCUUUAGCCACAUCGACUCCUAACAAUCCAAUUUAUACUGAUCCUCCAGUUAAGACAAAAUUUGGAUAUCAUUUAAUCAUGGUUGAAGGCAAAAAAUAGUGAAAUUUCAGCUUCUCAAAUCAGCCUUGGAUUCUUCGCACUGUCGUAAGCAUUUUAAAUCUUUUUGAUACUAACCUUUGAUUUAAUUUCAGGUACUAAGUCCAUCAUUAAUACUUUGUAAAAAGGUUAGGUAAUAAAGUCAUCAUUUAAAACAUUCAUUAAAUUUACAACGGAAACGACGGCUUUCAACUUCAACUCAUAAGCUUUUUUCAUUUACGUUAACACAUUAAACAUUAACGUUAAACAUUUACAAAGAUCACGGUAAUGUCAAAGAUUAGACAAUUAUUCAAAGGAUAAUAACGGUGUUUUUAUUAAAUUUAAUGUUCAUUUUUAAAAUUUAUGAUUUAAAGAAAUGGUUACAUAGUAUUGAUAAGGAUUUUCCCAUAAUACAUGUAUUCCCAAACAUCUUUUAUUCGUGAGGUACUAAUUGCAUUAAAUGGUUUCUUUGUAGAUUUUUGCUUUGAAUCGGGAGAAACAAGAGUUUUACCAUGGUAUUCCUGGACCAUGAACUAAAUGAUGGAUGCCUGGUUUGUUGAAUAUUUGCCCUCUGCUUAUAAGAUCAAGAAUGGGGAAACGAACAACUCUGAAAGGUGUUGAGAAGUAAACUUCAUUAAAUGGCAGUUUCAUGAAAUAAAAUUAAAAUCAUCUUUCGUGAAUCAAUACUUACGGAUGAUGUUUGACUCCAUCAGUAGCAAAACGUAUGUGGAUUGGAGCAAUCAAAUCAAUUAGAUUCCCUAAUUGAUGUGGAAUUGGUACUCGGAACAGAUAAUUGCCUUCACCAGAUGUUAAAUUCCAAGAAAUGAUGGACAUCAUUAAUAGCGAAAUCACAAAUUUGUACAUCUUCAUCAGUUUUUGAUUUUCUUUAAGAAACAAGGCCUCAGAAACAACACAAAAUGUAACUUCAAGACACAACGGUGAUAUGUUAGUCAACAAUUUUGAAAAUGAUUGUUACUCUACUUACUGGUGAUGAUGUUUGGACAAUUGAAACAAUUAAGAUGAGAGGUAAAAAUGAGAAAACAAACUUUCUAAAAUUUGGACGAUCCGGUUAAUGAACAAGAUAGCAAAAUCAGUCUUCCAUUUCUUUGGAAUGGACAGUUUCUUGAGCUCAGAAAUAAAGCGUGAAUCAAAAUUUAAAUAUUACUAAGUCUUAAGGAAAUAAACAUUAAUUGACUCUUAAUUAUCAAGUAAUUAAGAGGCAAAAUAUUUCCUUCGCAUUGACUGAUUCCAAAACAGUCCUCUUCAUGAAUCAAUCUCAGCUUGCAUUCAACAUUUGGCAUCUCAAAGUUAAACGAUUGUAACUCUUGUAUUAAUGUAAAAACACUUUUACUUUCAUCAACUAAUUUAAAACGAGAGUUAAUUUAAAUCCAUCUAACAGUGGACAAUUUAAAGUUAAUUUUGAAGAUCAAAAUAUUAGUUUAAAGAAAUUUCUAGACUUUUUCAAGCUCAAUGGCUAACUCUAAAUACGGUGUAUUAAGAUUUUGGUUGAAGAUCAGUUGGUAUUGGAAUUUUCCUCUGAAAUAUCGUGACCAGUGAUUAUAUUAAGACGUAGGAUAAGGCUAACAAUUAGCAUGAUAUGGUUGGUGUUGGAUUGGAAACUGAUUUCCCUAAACAAAAGAUGGAUCAUGGAUUUGAGGUCAUCUUUGUUUACACUCAAUACUGACACUCGAUUGGUAGUCAAUAUAAAUUGACCAACAUAUUGAAGGAUGCUAAUGUUUUGCUCGUUAAGUGAAAUGCAGCUUAGCAUAAAUCCAUGAAAAUGAGAGGAAUUGAAAAUGACCAAUUUCAUGUGACACUCGCUCAUGCUGGACCUGAGGCUGGUAAUGAAGCUGAGACCACCAAGAAACCUGUGGACAUCAGUAGUAUUUUAUCUCAACCAGAUAAAGUGAAAAUUAAUUUAUUAGAGCUGGUCAGUGGUGUUGGUAAAGCCAUCCAUUUAAUGAUCAACCAAAACCAGAAUUCUUCUUUGAACCAACGAACCUCUUUAGGUUUAGAUAUGCCUUUGGUCAAUAGUACGCUGACAGCUUUAUCCUCAUCGCCAAAAGGAUCAGUUGCCUCUGAUAGUGUACGAGCUGCCCGAGAAAAGGAGGAAAACAACAAACGAGCAGAAGAGUUGAGAGUGGAGAUUGCCAGGAGAACUGCACAAUUGCAAAAGAUUGUUGGUUCAGCCAUUGAAGUUAUGCGUGAUAGAGGUGAUGUCAUGGUUCGAAGAAUCUUGGAACAUUUAAAUACUCGACUUGAACAGGCUCGAACCAGCGCUGAUAAAAUAUUGAAGGAACCAGCAACUUCUGAGAUGGCUGUUCGUGCCUUGAACACUAUCAAUACAGGUCUCAAUAGUGUCAACCAGAUGAUCCAUAACACAUUAAACCGAGUUAACAUCCGAAUAAACGUUGACCUUAAAAAGCCAAAUGGUGAACCUGAAAAAGUGAAGGAAAAUUGAAACAAUUAAAUAUAAAUCGUCAAUACAAAGAAAAAUCACAAUUAUAUUAUAUUAAAUCCUUUUUUUUUGUCAUAUUUCAAAGGUACAGCAUGCAUACAAGCUUUGCCUUGAAUGUAGAAACAAUACUAAUGCAAUUCUAUAAUAAAAGAAACCCACCUUUAAAUUAAA